rnacentral:lncRNA from 1 species
GGCCCCGCAGAGUGGCUAUUUAUGGAAUUUUGUUCAGGGCUUGUGCUACUUUAGUUUCUCUCUCUCUCUCUGUGCUGUGUCACCCCGCCUUUCAGAAUGACUCUGUACACUGCCCUUUAGUUCCUCUUUCACUUAUUUAUUGAUGCAGUGUCCUUGAGAGAAAAUCCACGUGUUGCCCUGCGACAUAAUUAUGUGUAGAUAAGCUCGGGUUGCUUCACUUUUUCCAAACCCUGGAACUUUAAAUGCUGCCCGGAAGGCCUUUGCUUGCCCAGCUCAGCCUUUUCCUCGUUCCAAGAAAAGCAUUCCUCACAAAUCGCGGAGCCAGACCCCGCAGUGGAAUGAUGUGUCUUUGCUGUUCUGUCAGGAAAUUCCAGGACGACACCUUUUGUUGCAAAUUCCACCUGGGCGCUAGCAGAACUGAUGAACUGAUGGACAAGGUUCUGGCGAUCUGUUGACCUCACAACCGCGAGGGGCGGCAGAGUAAAAUAAUAUUCAACCGUUUCUACUGAGAUGAGAAUCGGAACGACAGAGCGAGACUAGACUUCACCUCCUGGGAAAGCUGAGGCCGCUGCUGGAAGAGGUGUUCGUGCAGCCAGUAGGGGGCGCUCACCCUGCGGGCAGUGUGGCUCCUAAUGCCCCAGUAACGGGUGACGGGGACACUGUACUGUAAAAAAGGCGCCGUGCUUCGGAUGAGACGUAAGCCCGAGGCCCUGACUCUUUGUGGUUAUUAAAAAUGACAGGGAGUUUCUCGAGAAGAGUAGGGGUGUUACCCCGGUGUCCUAAUAAACCCCUAAUAAACCCCAUCUCUGAACUGGCUUCAUCCCUCUGCUCUCCUCCCCACUGAGAGCUGGUGUGUGGGGAGCGGACUGGAGCAUCAUCCAGGUGGGGGUACACACUGGUGCUGGUGGAGGGGAUCCCCAUGACCUGUACAAGAGAUAACCGAGUACAUGAUCUCCUGUCAUCAGAACACAGGACACAGGACACAACUGCUCCAGGGGCGCUGUAUAAAAGGCUGACCCUGCGCUCUGACCCCCAGCUUCUCUCCCUGUCUGUGUGUCUCAUGGAGAGCAAGCUGGGGUAUGUGAAAAGAUCAUUCCUAAUGCACAAAACUGUAAAGGGUUAAUAAAGUGAUGUUGUU